CAUGCCGCGUGUGUGAAGAAGGUCUUCGGAUUGUAAAGCACUUUAAGUUGGGAGGAAGGGCAGUAAGNUAAUACCUUGCUGUUUUGACGUUACCGACAGAAUAAGCACCGGCUAACUCUGUGCCAGCAGCCGCGGUAA
rnacentral:rRNA from 1 species